UGGGGAAUAUUGGACAAUGGGCGAAAGCCUGAUCCAGCAACGCCGCGUGAGGGAUGACGGCCUUCGGUUGGUAAACCUCUUUCUAGCAGGGACGAAGCGCAAGUGACGGUACCUGCAGAAGAAGCACCGGCCAACUACGUGCCAGCAGCCGCGGUAAUACGUAGGGUGCGAGCGUUGUCCGGAAUUAUUGGGCGUAAAGGGCUCGUAGGCGGUUUGUCACGUCGGGAGUGAAAACUCGGGGCUUAACCCCGAGCCUGCUUCCGAUACGGGCUGACUAGAGGUAUGCAGGGGAGAACGGAAUUCCUGGUGUAGCGGUGAAAUGCGCAGAUAUCAGGGGGAACACCGGUGGCGAAGGCGGUUCUCUGGGCAUUACCUGACGCUGAGGAGCGAAAGUGUGGGGAGCGAACAGGAUUAGAUACCCUGGUAGUCCACACCGUAAACGUUGGGCGCUAGGUGUGGGACUCAUUCCACGAGUUCCGUGCCGCAGCUAACGCAUUAAGCG
rnacentral:rRNA from 1 species